rnacentral:lncRNA from 1 species
AAAAAAAUCGAAAGAAUCUUCCUGGCCUCUAAGACUCCCGUGGCUUAGAUUACUAUCAGAAGUUCCCGAGGAGCUGAGAAGAGAGACCAUAGCCAAUUAGAAAACUCAUGCGCGAAGGAUGUGAAGUCUACAUUUUUUUACUGCUGAUAUAUAUCUAGACCAAUCUUUUAGCUAUCCUUCUACUCGCCUGCCUACCUUCAUCCUUAUUCUACCUUUGUUAGCUCGGAGCUUCUCUCUUGGCUAGCGAUCGUAAGGGCUUUGAGAGCAUUGUCAGCCUGAAGACGGACGGGCAAUCGCCUAAUCCAAAGGCAGUAACAGGAUGCGGCAGAGACGGUUCAGCGGCCCAUCGAAAGACGGUCCGGGCUGCGAAAAUGAAGACCCAGCCUUCGGGUAGUCCCACUUUCUGGUUCCCCUGAACACCUCAAUGCUAGAUCAGCCAUUAAAAUGCAUUAUAUAUAUAUAAAUUUUCCUUCUUCAUCACUAGUUAACGAAUGUUGGCUGUAACCGAUUGUUAACACUCAAUCAAGCACGACUUGAAAGUCAGGAUAGAUGAAUCUCUCAGUUAGUACGUUUUAAACAAGCACUCGCUCCUCUCCUGUAAGUCGACUAUCUUUGUUCGUCGAUCUUCUUCUACAGUAAGGGGCGCCUCCCUCCCCCGAUGCAUGAAGAAAUGGAGCGACAGCCCUUUGAAGUUCAUCCAUAAAGAGGUACCCAAGCGAGACUCCUACUUUGGGGAGAACUAGAUAAAUGANNNNN